GGGGACGUUACGGAUUCGACAGGGGCGGUUCGAGCUUUGGUGGCGCGUCGAGGUUACGACUCGUAAAACGUUACUCGCCUAAAUAUAACUGGCAAAGAAAACAACUACUCUCUAGCUGCAGCGUAAGCUAAUCUAGAGGAUCCUUCCCGGAAUCGCCCGUGUUCCGGAUUGAAGGGUCUCAAAUUAAGCGGGCUAUUGCAACCAUCCCCCGCCUGAGGAUGGCUGCUGAAUUAAAUCAGGCUAGCCAUGCUGUUCAGCCCGUUGGCAGGCUGUGGCAUGUGCGAAAUACAAUAUGCCGACUACACGCGUAGAAGCCUUAGUGGCGAUGUCUCUGGACGCGGGUUCGACUCCCGCCGUCUCCACCA
rnacentral:tmRNA from 1 species